GCACCCGUAGCUCAGCUGGAUAGAGCGUCCGCUUGCGGAGCGGGAGGUCAUAGGUUCGAAUCCUGUCGGGUGCACCA
rnacentral:tRNA from 1 species